GGCGGGCUUUGGGCGCUGCCGGCCUUCCCCCGCAGUGCCCGGGCUGGCCCGGCGCCUGGCAAAACCUCUGAGGGAAAAGGCAAGCAACAGCUGCGCUUCUUCUGCCCUUUCUUUAGCCAGGGACUGGAACACGGACAAAAUCAAGGGGCUCUUUGACCUGUGCAGGCUCCGAGCAUUUUUCAGCCUUCCCUAGCAGGGCAUUCUCACCCUCUGGAAAGCUGAAAGGCUUUAACAGCUGGAGACGCGCCUGCAGCUGUGCAGAUUAAUGUAGUUUCUUUUAGGAAACAAAGGGGAAGUUUUCCUGUUGUGAGCCUAAAUACCGAGUCUACUCUGCUUUUUCAAUCAGGUGACGAAGCUUAUGGAAAAAAAGACCAAAGGCCUCGAGGGAUGUUCUUCUUGAUCCCCCGGGGCAAACGGAGGUGUCAGCGUCAGGAGCCAUCCUAACUGGGGCCCUGGUAGGCUCCCUCUUUCCCUUCGGUCGCCGUGGGUGUGCCGGCCGCCUCUGGCAGGACUAACCCUGUGGCUUUUAUGUCCAACGUGCUGUGCUGUGUGUGCCUGCAGGUCAUGUUUAUCUGCCUGUCAGGACUGUUGGAGCACUGGAUGGAGAGCAGGUCAUAUGAGGAGGAUUACGGAGUAAAAGGCAGCUUGUACUGAAGUGCAGGGAAAGUAUAAAUAUUGAUAUAUAUUGGCACAGCGCCUGGCCUUAAUGCUUAAAAUCCUUUGGAGAGCUGUCUGCAUAUUUACUGUAUUAAUGAUCAAAUGCAAGGCUGUGUUGGGAAAGGUCUUCCAUUUGGAAGUCAGUAGUUGAGACUGUCUUGCCUAUGAAAAAGAGGGAGAAUUUUCGUUAGAGGAUGUAGGAUUCUGGCUGGUAAUAGUCUUAAUUCAAGGUAUUUUUAGAGAAUUGAUUUAAUACAAGCAGAACAAAUGGCCAGAAGUGUAACGAGAGACAAGUUGAAAUUAGAAAGUAGAUGUGCAUUUUGAAUGUAUUGUCAUAGCAACUGAUUAAAUUCUCCCUCUCUUGCUGUUCUGGGGACCUUUUAAAUGUGCUUUGGCUAAAUAAAAAGUAUUAGACUAUUUCAGAGCCAAAAGGUCA